rnacentral:tRNA from 1 species
GAGUUUAGCUCAGCUGGUUCAGAGCACUUGCCUUACAAGCAAGGGGUCAUUGGUUCGAAUCCAAUAACUCC